rnacentral:rRNA from 1 species
GAUGAACGCUGGCGGCGUGCCUAAUACAUGCAAGUCGAGCGAACGGACGAGAAGCUUGCUUUUCUGAUGUUAGCGACGGACGGGUGAGUAACACGUGGAUAACCUACCUAUAAGACUGGGAUAACUUCGGGAAACCGGAGCUAAUACCGGAUAAUAUUUUGAACCGCAUGGUUCAAAAGUGAAAGACGGUCUUGCUGUCACUUAUAGAUGGAUCCGCGCUGCAUUAGCUAGUUGGUAAGGUAACGGCUUACCAAGGCAACGAUGCAUAGCCGACCUGAGAGGGUGAUCGGACACACUGGAACUGAGACACGGUCCAGACUCCUACGGGAGGCAGCAGUAGGGAAUCUUCCGCAAUGGGCGAAAGCCUGACGGAGCAACGCCGCGUGAGUGAUGAAGGUCUUCGGAUCGUAAAACUCUGUUAUUAGGGAAGAACAUAUGUGUAAGUAACUGUGCACAUCUUGACGGUACCUAAUCAGAAAGCCACGGCUAACUACGUG